rnacentral:lncRNA from 1 species
CCAGUGACUCAAUAUGAUUAACAAUAGGCAUGCAAAGCCUCUCAGGGGGGUUGCCAUCCAAGAAUGCCAUCUUUGAUCCAUUUUUCUCCUGUUGGUGAAUUUUCCACGCAUUUGUAACAAGCUAUUUUAAAUGUUGUAAUACCAUAUUUUCCUUCUAUUUUGUAUAACCUUAACUGAAUGUAAAUGAAUAAACAUGACUACCCAACUGUGUAUAUACCAAUGAACCUUAUUUGUAAUACAAAUUACAAAAGGAUCACAACCUCAGAUGCUUCUAGUAUAUGAGAGUUAUAAGAAAACAUGCGAUCUUAAAUGUGACUGGAGAACAUCCGAUGCAUGAAAAUAAAAAUUACACAUCUGUUACUCAAUCUAUAUAACCUAAUUCACCAAAAGGACCCAAGAUAUUAACCCUUUAUACAUAUCUCAAGCAGAAAUAAAAAGGGAAAAAGAAGAAAAGGCAGUUUUUUUUUUUUCGAAUUCCUUUUAACUUUAUUUAUCAAACAAUGAUAGAGGGUUUUUGUCAAAAUUCUCAUUGAUAAUUUAAAAAAUGAAAGUCAUUUGAAACAUACAUACAAAUAUAGAUAGCUGUAUACAUAUAUGAUUUAUUGCUUGAUGAUCAUUUUGAAGGCAGUAAUGGCAGCUUUUGGCCAAAAAGAAAAGGUAUAUGUUGCCACCUAUGGUAUUAGAACCAGGGGGGAACUGUACCCAUCCCUCUGUUGCCAACAGAGGAAGAGAGAUAUAUAUGCUUACAUAUUGCCUAAAAGAUAGCUUUGUCAUGGAAAUUCCUAGUCUCUUGAAAAUUUCAGGCUGAAAACUAUUGGAACACCUAAAAAUAGCAUGUAAACUUAAUUCCCAUUUUAAAAGAAAAUGUAGCCAUAAUAAACAAGAACAAAUUGUAAUGUUUACUUGAUGUGUCCAAGUUUCACAUUUAUAGAUUCCUUUGGUACCCAACCAACGUCAUUACUAGUGACAUACAGAGCAGGGUUUCUGUUAAUAGUCAAGAAAAAUUUAAACACACAUCAUUUUAAUUAUUUUGUUGCUGACCGUGUUUCCAAUAUAAUCAAAUUUCCAAAAUAGGAGUAAACUAGGGUACCAUACCUGCAGAAAUCGAUUCAAAGCAAUCAAUAUACACUGCAUUGAAAGUUCAUCUGGGUUAAUGAAGUUCAGUGCCUUUGACAUGGCAAUAAACACAUUGUCA